rnacentral:misc_RNA from 1 species
GAUGAAGAACGUAGCGAAAUGCGAUACUUGGUGUGAAUUGCAGAAUCCCGUGAACCAUCGAGUCUUUGAACGCACAUUGCGCCCCCUGGUAUUCCGGGGGGCAUGCCUGUCCGUGCGUCAUUGCUGCCCUCAAGCACGGCUUGUGUGUUGGGCCUCCGUCCUCCUCCCGGGGGACGGGCCCGAAAGGCAGCGGCGGCACCGCGUCCGGUCCUCGAGCGUAUGGGGCUUCGUCACCCGCUCUUGUAGGCCCGGCCGGCGCUUGCCGACACAUCAAUCUUUUUUCCAGGUUGACCUCGGAUCAGGUAGGGAUACCCGCUGAACUUAAGCAUAUCAAUAAGCGGAGGA